GUAGGUGAACCUGCGGAAGGAUCAUUACCGUGGGGCUUCGGCUCCAUUGAGGUAGCACCCUUUGUUUAUGAGUACCCUUGUUUCCUCGGCGGGCUUGCCCGCCAUGAGGACCUUCAAAAACCCUUUGUAGUAGCAGUAACUUCAGUUAAAAAUAAAUAUUAAAACUUUCAACAACGGAUCUCUUGGUUCUGGCAUCGAUGAAGAACGCAGAUUCUGACUGACUUCAGGUUG
rnacentral:misc_RNA from 1 species